AUGAGAUGUUCUACAACUCUUGCCUUAAAGGAAAGAUUUAAUUAGCUCAAAGACUUUCAAACUACAAAUUAUGCCUCAUGGACAAAAGUUGACUCUACCAUGUUAUGUUUUCAUUUAUGAGAUGUUCUACAACUAUUGUCUUAGAGGUAAGACUUAGUUCAAGGACUUUCAAACUACAAAUUAUGUUCCAUGGGCAAAAGUUGACACUACCACGUUAUGUCUUUCAUUUAUGAGAUACUCUACAACUCUUGCCUUAGAGGCAAGACUUAGCUCAAAGACUUUCAAACUACAAAUUAUGCUCCACCGACAAGAGUUGACACUACCACGUUAUGUUUUUAUUUAUGGAAUGUUCUACAACUCUUGCCUUAGAGGCAAGACUUAGCUCAAAGACUUUCAAACUACAAAUUAUGCCCCACGGGCAAGAGUUGACACUACUACAUUAUGCCUUUAUUUAUGAGAUAUUCUAGAACUCUCUCCUUAGAGACACGACUUAUCUUAGAAUUUUCAAAGAACUUCAUAACAACAAUUCAUGCCCUUUAAUUUGCUUUGACAGCAAAAGAAGAAGAUACCUUUGUGGAUUAUUCAAUUUUUUAUUUAUUAGCAAAAUAUAAUAGAAAUUGAGAAAAAAGAAAAAAACGAUGAAAAAAUAGAGAAAUAAAAAAAAUUGAGAAAAAAAGAAAGAAAAAAAUAAAGAUCAAGAAAAAAGCGAAGAAUUAAAAAAUUGAGAAAAAUAAAAAUGAGAGAAAAAACAAAAAUAAAGUUUGAGAAAAAUGAGGGAAAAAAAGAGAACUGAAAAAAGAAAAAAACGAUCAAACAAAAUAGAGAAAUAAAAAAAAAGAGUGAGAAAAAAAAUGCAGGAAAAAAAUAAAGAUUAAGAAAAAAAAUGAAGAAUUAAAGAAAUUGAGAAAAUAAAAAANN
rnacentral:lncRNA from 1 species